AAACAAGCAACGAAAGAAAAGCAGUAAAGAGAUAACCUCUAUCUUAGAGAGCUAGUGGUGGUGAGAACUAGUAUACGUUAUUGAUUGAAUUACAUUCUGGAGCUUAUGCCUUUAAGGCACGUGUAACGGCGAUAAUCGUUUGGAGGUAUAUAGAAUUUUUCUAUAUAUAAAUUUGGGUGGUACCACGAUGAAUUUCGUCCCUAAG
rnacentral:ncRNA from 1 species